rnacentral:rRNA from 1 species
AGUCGAGCGAACAGACGAGGAGCUUGCUCCUCUGACGUUAGCGGCGGACGGGUGAGUAACACGUGGAUAACCUACCUAUAAGACUGGGAUAACUCCGGGAAACCGGAGCUAAUACCGGAUAAUAUAUUGAACCGCAUGGUUCAAUAGUGAAAGACGGUUUUGCUGUCACUUAUAGAUGGAUCCGCGCCGCAUUAGCUAGUUGGUAAGGUAACGGCUUACCAAGGCAACGAUGCGUAGCCGACCUGAGAGGGUGAUCGGCCACACUGGAACUGAGACACGGUCCAGACUCCUACGGGAGGCAGCAGUAGGGAAUCUUCCGCAAUGGGCGAAAGCCUGACGGAGCAACGCCGCGUGAGUGAUGAAGGUCUUCGGAUCGUAAAACUCUGUUAUUAGGGAAGAACAAAUGUGUAAGUAACUAUGCACGUCUUGACGGUACCUAAUCAGAAAGCCACGGCUAACUACGUGCCAGCAGCCGCGGUAAUACGUAGGUGGCAAGCGUUAUCCGGAAUUAUUGGGCGUAAAGCGCGCGUAGGCGGUUUUUUAAGUCUGAUGUGAAAGCCCACGGCUCAACCGUGGAGGGUCAUUGGAAACUGGAAAACUUGAGUGCAGAAGAGGAAAGUGGAAUUCCAUGUGUAGCGGUGAAAUGCGCAGAGAUAUGGAGGAACACCAGUGGCGAAGGCGACUUUCUGGUCUGUAACUGACGCUGAUGUGCGAAAGCGUGGGGAUC